rnacentral:rRNA from 1 species
CGUAGGUGACCAGCGUUGUCCGGAUUUACUGGGCGUAAAGAGCGCGCAGGCGGUCGUUCAAGUCGAGUGUGAAAGCCCCCGGCUCAACUGGGGAGGGUCACUCGAUACUGAUCGACUUGAAGGCAGGAGAGGGAAGCGGAAUUCCCGGUGUAGUGGUGAAAUGCGUAGAUAUCGGGAGGAACACCAGUGGCGAAGGCGGCUUCCUGGCCUGUUCUUGACGCUGAGGCGCGAAAGCUAGGGGAGCAAACGGGAUUAGAUACCCCGGUAGUCCUAGCCGUAAACGAUGGACACUAGGUGUUGGUGGUAUCAACCCCACCAGUGCCGAAGCUAAACGCAUUAAAGUGUCCCGCCUGGGGAGUACGGCCGCAAAGGCUAA